UGGUUGAGGGCCCCACUCCACAAAGUAAAGUUGGCCCGAGAGAUUAUUAUAGGUGAAGUAUCUAUCUUCUCUUGUCGAGGCGAAGGCGAAGGGUCUCGCGAAUCGCGACGAAGGAAGCUGUGAAGGAGCAGAAGGCGGCGAUGCGAUGGUUGGGUACGAGUCAGGGCAGAUUGCAGAGGCAAGAUAUGGUGAUGGCGAUUGCUCGGGAGGCAAGACGGAGGGAAGGAAUAUGGAGAAGGGCCUGUCGUAAUCACAGGGGGAUGUGUCAGGGAUGUCAGCACUAACAUUGGAUUAUUGAACUGUUCCAAAAGUGUCAUGUUGACCAUCCUGAUGGAAAACUCUUUGGAGAGUGUACAGACCUGAAAAUUAAGCUCGACCGUUGUUUCAGGGAAGAAGUGAGUCCUACUGUUUAUAUGGGAGUCUUUCAUAUAAGCUUUUGCCCCCUCUGCCUGUCACCUUUUGAAAAGCACAUAGAUUUGAGGAGAGGGACAAUUAUUGCAUUAAACAGUCUUCCUCUCCAUUUUUGCCCUUCACUAUUUAUUUGACAUCUAUUAAUGAAUUUUGGUAAACAAGGGGUCAAAAUAGUAAGAAUUUGGGAUAUUGCUCAAAAUGGAAAGGAAGACCAACUGCAGAAUAGGGAAGUAUUUGUCUGCUGCUUCUUAUAGCUCCUUCUUAGGGUUUAAAGGUUGGAUGUUCAUUUCUUUCACAGAAAGCCUUAAAGAGAAAGGAGAACUUUGAGCAGAGUAAGAAGCUGAAGGAGAGGCUACAAGCUCACAGGAGGGAAACUGCCGAGUAAAGCCAAGAAUAAGUACUACAUUUGUGUAGUUAUAAUAAGAGACUACUUCAAAACUGUGAUUAUUAUUUUAUGUACAUGUAUUCAAACAUCAAAAGUCACAUUGAUUAAUAAGGUCGAAGGAAAUCAAUUCAGGAGAACAGGGGAAUAUCUAAGUCGAGUUUUGGCCA